UUCUUCUGCCGAUUCACAGAGUGCGAGAGACUCAGGCGGGAAGAAGCAAAAGGGUUCACAGGCAGGAAAUCGUUGCAGCAUCAGGAAAAGCCUGUUGCAUAGAAGCGACAGUGAACAACCAGAAAAUAAGUAAACCGACAAGGUACUUGAACAUUCAACUGGGCCACAUUUACUUCAACAAUGUAACACGUGCAACAUGUGCUUGGACCGUCAUCACAGUAGUCAAGAGCACCUCAAUCUUUCUAUUACACGUUUUUCUAUUCCAGGUUAACUGUUGUUUUUAUUUCUGCCACAAUUCAUCAGUGUUAGUCCAUCUGCAAUUGGUAAUAGUUUGUCUUCAGUUGAUCAACCAUGAUUGUGCAACAGAAAUUUGGAAUCAUAUGUUUAACUAAAGCAUACUUAUUAUUUGAAAAUUAGGCAACUGCAAUGCACAGUUAUGUGUCCUUUAACCAUACAGUAUCUAUCAGAAUGUUUACCAAUAUUUUAUUAUUGCAAUUGCACACUUAUUUUUUUGCUUGAUCUUUCAUUUCAGUAACAGCAUUGAAAUUUGAAACCUUGACACCUGAAAAUUUCUCUGUCCUCUGUAUCGUAUCCACUGGCAUGGAUAACAAGAUUCUAGCUUAAUGCAAAAUGUAUGUCUUUUGCUCAAUUUUUCACUUUGUAAUCAGCAUUGAAGCCUUGAAAUGACCGGUGACAUGGCCCCACACCUCAGACUAUGAUUCCCUUCUUUGGAGGACAACGGUUAAUCAGCAUUGAAGCCUUGAAAUGACCCGUGCCAUAGCCCCACAUCCCAGACUCUAGAUUCCCUUCUUUGGAGGACAAAGGUCCCCAUCCUGAGGUACUGGGUACGUACCGGGCUGAGCAGUUGAGGCUGAGAAAUUGAUUUGUUUUGAACCAACAUUACAAACCACACCCAUAAAGCACUGCACAAAGCGAGUAAGAGAACUUUGUUCGUGAUAUUGCUUUGUUUAUGAGUACUUUCUAUGGGAAAUCCCUGAUCAGAGCACUCACAACCUGAAAUUCCCGAGGGAAGAAGCCCUUGCAAAGCAAACUGCCAGGGCUCUGCUUGUUUAAAGCAUGCAUUUGCUUUCAUCUGACAAGAGAUCCAGGCAAGUUGUAAAAAUAAAGGAAGUCAAAAAGAGGACAGGGUGCUGGACCAUGCAACCCAAGGCUCAAAAUUCAUGAAUGGAAAGCAGAUUUCAAGUA